AAUGUAUGUUUAAUAGGCCAUGUUCAGGCUUUCUGGAAAAAUAAGGUCAGGCCAAGUUAGUUUUAAACCCAAUGGCUUCCUCAUAAACUCCAAUAUAUCCAAUAUUGCUUUUCAUUUAUU